rnacentral:lncRNA from 1 species
UUCGAAUUGUGAGAACGUAGCACAUAAAAUAUUAUGGCAAAAGAUUGAUAAAGUAUCAAAUCUUUAUGUAAGACAUUAUGCAUUGUGUCUCAUAUGCUUCGGGUUAGAUUAUCAUUACGACAUUCCUCUUCAUAAUUCGAAUUGUGAGAACGUAGCACAUAAAAUAUUAUGGCAAAAGAUUGAUAAAGUAUCAAAUCUUUAUGUAAGACAUUAUGCAUCGUGUCCCAUACGCUUCGGGUAUAGGAUCGAUUGCAAAUGCUAUAAUAUUUGACCAUUCUAAAAUUUUCCAAAUGUCUAGCGCAUUUAGAGGGAAAAAGGACAAGAAUCGGUUUUGACUAAGAUAAUUAAACAACUAUCAAAGGACAAUCCAAAGUUCGCCUAGGAUUGGUCGCUUGUGAGUAGUUGGAAGUAUAGUAUUGGAUGGACCAUAUUGACAUUAUUAUGAAUAGAUAAGAUUCUAUUGAGAAUGAGUUGUCAUAUGGUAAGUAUGGAAAGGUUUCCAUAUUGGGAGUUGGAUAUUGAGAAUCAAUGUCUAGAUUAGAAAAUUUUAUGCAAAAGGAUGUUCAAAGGAAUGUACUUUGAGUGAG